UUAAGUUAUUAAGGGCGCACGGUGGAUGCCUUGGCACUAGAAGCCGAUGAAGGACGUUACUAACGACGAUAUGCUUUGGGGAGCUGUAAGUAAGCUUUGAUCCAGAGAUUUCCGAAUGGGGAAACCCAGCAUGAGUUAUGUCAUGUUAUCGAUAUGUGAAUACAUAGCAUAUCAGAAGGCACACCCGGAGAACUGAAACAUCUUAGUACCCGGAGGAAGAGAAAGAAAAUUCGAUUCCCUUAGUAGCGGCGAGCGAAACGGGAAGAGCCCAAACCAACAAGCUUGCUUGUUGGGGUUGUAGGACACUCUAUACGGAGUUACAAAGGACGACAUUAGACGAAUCAUCUGGAAAGAUGAAUCAAAGAAGGUAAUAAUCCUGUAGUCGAAAAUGUUGUCUCUCUUGAGUGGAUCCUGAGUACGACGGAGCACGUGAAAUUCCGUUGGAAUCUGGGAGGACCAUCUCCUAAGGCUAAAUACUCUCUAGUGACCGAUAGUGAACCAGUACCGUGAGGGAAAGGUGAAAAGCACCCCGGAAGGGGAGUGAAAUAGAACCUGAAACCGUGUGCUUACAAGUAGUCAGAGCCCGUUAAUGGGUGAUGGCGUGCCUUUUGUAGAAUGAACCGGCGAGUUACGAUUUGAUGCAAGGUUAAGCAGUAAAUGUGGAGCCGUAGCGAAAGCGAGUCUGAAUAGGGCGUUUAGUAUUUGGUCGUAGACCCGAAACCAGGUGAUCUACCCUUGGUCAGGUUGAAGUUCAGGUAACACUGAAUGGAGGACCGAACCGACUUACGUUGAAAAGUGAGCGGAUGAACUGAGGGUAGCGGAGAAAUUCCAAUCGAACCUGGAGAUAGCUGGUUCUCUCCGAAAUAGCUUUAGGGCUAGCCUCAAGUGAUGAUUAUUGGAGGUAGAGCACUGUUUGGACGAGGGGCCCCUCUCGGGUUACCGAAUUCAGACAAACUCCGAAUGCCAAUUAAUUUAACUUGGGAGUCAGAACAUGGGUGAUAAGGUCCGUGUUCGAAAGGGAAACAGCCCAGACCACCAGCUAAGGUCCCAAAAUAUAUGUUAAGUGGAAAAGGAUGUGGCGUUGCCCAGACAACUAGGAUGUUGGCUUAGAAGCAGCCAUCAUUUAAAGAGUGCGUAAUAGCUCACUAGUCGAGUGACACUGCGCCGAAAAUGUACCGGGGCUAAACAUAUUACCGAAGCUGUGGAUUGUCCUUUGGACAAUGGUAGGAGAGCGUUCUAAGGGCGUUGAAGCAUGAUCGUAAGGACAUGUGGAGCGCUUAGAAGUGAGAAUGCCGGUGUGAGUAGCGAAAGACGGGUGAGAAUCCCGUCCACCGAUUGACUAAGGUUUCCAGAGGAAGGCUCGUCCGCUCUGGGUUAGUCGGGUCCUAAGCUGAGGCCGACAGGCGUAGGCGAUGGAUAACAGGUUGAUAUUCCUGUACCACCUAUAAUCGUUUUAAUCGAUGGGGGGACGCAGUAGGAUAGGCGAAGCGUGCGAUUGGAUUGCACGUCUAAGCAGUAAGGCUGAGUAUUAGGCAAAUCCGGUACUCAUUAAGGCUGAGCUGUGAUGGGGAGAAGACAUUGUGUCUUCGAGUCGUUGAUUUCACACUGCCGAGAAAAGCCUCUAGAUAGAAAAUAGGUGCCCGUACCGCAAACCGACACAGGUAGUCAAGAUGAGAAUUCUAAGGUGAGCGAGCGAACUCUCGUUAAGGAACUCGGCAAAAUGACCCCGUAACUUCGGGAGAAGGGGUGCUCUUUAGGGUUAACGCCCAGAAGAGCCGCAGUGAAUAGGCCCAAGCGACUGUUUAUCAAAAACACAGGUCUCUGCUAAACCGUAAGGUGAUGUAUAGGGGCUGACGCCUGCCCGGUGCUGGAAGGUUAAGAGGAGUGGUUAGCUUCUGCGAAGCUACGAAUCGAAGCCCCAGUAAACGGCGGCCGUAACUAUAACGGUCCUAAGGUAGCGAAAUUCCUUGUCGGGUAAGUUCCGACCCGCACGAAAGGCGUAACGAUUUGGGCACUGUCUCAACGAGAGACUCGGUGAAAUCAUAGUACCUGUGAAGAUGCAGGUUACCCGCGACAGGACGGAAAGACCCCGUGGAGCUUUACUGUAGCCUGAUAUUGAAAUUCGGCACAGCUUGUACAGGAUAGGUAGGAGCCUUUGAAACGUGAGCGCUAGCUUACGUGGAGGCGCUGGUGGGAUACUACCCUAGCUGUGUUGGCUUUCUAACCCGCACCACUUAUCGUGGUGGGAGA
rnacentral:rRNA from 1 species